CCGAGUUUACAACUCCCAAACCCCUGUGAACAUACCAAUUGUUGCCUCGGCGGAUCAGCCCGCUCCCGGUAAAACGGGACGGCCCGCCAGAGGACCCCUAAACUCUGUUUCUAUAUGUAACUUCUGAGUAAAACCAUAAAUAAAUCAAAACUUUCAACAACGGAUCUCUUGGUUCUGGCAUCGAUGAAGAACGCAGCAAAAUGCGAUAAGUAAUGUGAAUUGCAGAAUUCAGUGAAUCAUCGAAUCUUUGAACGCACAUUGCGCCCGCCAGUAUUCUGGCGGGCAUGCCUGUUCGAGCGUCAUUUCAACCCUCAAGCCCCCGGGUUUGGUGUUGGGGAUCGGCGAGCCCUUGCGGCAAGCCGGCCCCGAAAUCUAGUGGCGGUCUCGCUGCAGCUUCCAUUGCGUAGUAGUAAAACCCUCGCAACUGGUACGCGGCGCGGCCAAGCCGUUAAACCCCCAACUUCUGAAUGUUGACCUCGGAUCAGGUAGGAAUACCCGCUGAACUUAAGCAUAUCAAUAAGCGGAGGA
rnacentral:rRNA from 1 species